GAUGAACGCUGGCGGCGUGCCUAAUACAUGCAAGUCGAGCGAACAGACGAGGAGCUUGCUCCUCUGACGUUAGCGGCGGACGGGUGAGUAACACGUGGAUAACCUACCUAUAAGACUGGGAUAACUUCGGGAAACCUGAGCUAAUACCCGUUAAUAUAUUGAACCGCAUGGUUCAAUAGUGCUAGACCGUUUUGCUGUCCCUUAUACAUGUAUCCAGGCCGCAUUAGCUAGUUGGUAAGGUAACGGCUUACCAAGGCAACGAUGCGUAGCCGACCUGAGAGGGUGAUCAGCCACACUGGAACUGAGACACGGUCCAGACUCCUACGGGAGGCAGCAGUAGGGAAUCUUCCGCAAUGGGCGAAAGCCUGACGGAGCAACGCCGCGUGAGUGAUGAAGGUCUUCGGAUCGUAAAACUCUGUUAUUAGGGAAGAACAAAUGUGUAAGUAAAUAUGCACGUCUUGACGGUACCUAAUCAGAAAGCCACGGCUAACUACGUG
rnacentral:rRNA from 1 species